rnacentral:rRNA from 1 species
GGCUUAGAGUUUGAUCAUGGCUCAGGAUGAACGCUGGCGGCGUGCCUAACACAUGCAAGUCGAGCGAAGCACUUUACUUUGAAUCUUCGGAUGAAGAGUGAUUUGACUGAGCGGCGGACGGGUGAGUAACGCGUGGGUAACCUGCCUCACACAGGGGGAUAACAGUCAGAAAUGACUGCUAAUACCGCAUAAGGCCACAGCACCGCAUGGUGCAGGGGUAAAAACUCCGGUGGUGUGAGAUGGGCCCGCGUCUGAUUAGUUAGUUGGCGGGGUAACGGCCCACCAAGACGACGAUCAGUAGCCGACCUGAGAGGGUGACCGGCCACAUUGGGACUGAGACACGGCCCAAACUCCUACGGGAGGCAGCAGUGGGGAAUAUUGCACAAUGGGGGAAACCCUGAUGCAGCGACGCCGCGUGAGCGAAGAAGUAUUUCGGUAUGUAAAGCUCUAUCAGCAGGGAAGAAAUUGACGGUACCUGACUAAGAAGCACCGGCUAAAUACGUGCCAGCAGCCGCGGUAAUACGUAUGGUGCAAGCGUUAUCCGGAUUUACUGGGUGUAAAGGGAGCGUAGACGGAGCAGCAAGUCUGGAGUGAAAACCCGGGGCUCAACCCCGGGACUGCUUUGGAAACUGUUGUUCUAGAGUGCUGGAGAGGUAAGUG